rnacentral:rRNA from 1 species
AAUGAACGUUGGCGGCAUGGAUUAGGCAUGCAAGUCGCGCGAUAAGAUUCCUUCGGGAAUCCGAAAGCGGCGAAAGGGAGAGUAACGCGUAGAUGAUCUACCCCGAGGACUGGGAUAGCGGCGGGAAACUGCCGGUAAUACCAGAUGAUGUCUCCGGACCAAAGGUGUGAUUCCGCCUUGGGAUGAAUCUGCGUCCUAUUAGCUAGUUGGUGAGGUAACGGCUCACCAAGGCGAAGAUGGGUACCGGGUGUGAGAGCAUGACCCGGCUCACUGGGACUGAGACACUGCCCAGACACCUACGGGUGGCUGCAGUCGAGAAUCUUCGGCAAUGGGCGAAAGCCUGACCGAGCAAUGCCGCGUGCGGGAUGAAGGCC